ensembl:snRNA U6 U6 spliceosomal RNA
ACGCUCACUUUGGCAGCACAUGCACUAAAACUGGAACAAUGCAGAGAAGAUUCACAGAACCCCUGCACAGGAAUGACACACAAAUUCCUGAAGCAUUCUACAUUUUU